rnacentral:rRNA from 1 species
UGGGGAAUAUUGGACAAUGGGGGCAACCCUGAUCCAGCCAUGCCGCGUGUGUGAAGAAGGCCUUUUGGUUGUAAAGCACUUUAAGCAGGGAGGAGAGGCUAAUGGUUAAUACCCAUUAGAUUAGACGUUACCUGCAGAAUAAGCACCGGCUAACUCUGUGCCAGCAGCCGCGGUAAUACAGAGGGUGCGAGCGUUAAUCGGAAUUACUGGGCGUAAAGCGAGUGUAGGUGGCUCAUUAAGUCACAUGUGAAAUCCCCGGGCUUAACCUGGGAACUGCAUGUGAUACUGGUGGUGCUAGAAUAUGUGAGAGGGAAGUAGAAUUCCAGGUGUAGCGGUGAAAUGCGUAGAGAUCUGGAGGAAUACCGAUGGCGAAGGCAGCUUCCUGGCAUAAUAUUGACACUGAGAUUCGAAAGCGUGGGUAGCAAACAGGAUUAGAUACCCUGGUAGUCCACGCCGUAAACGAUGUCUACUAGCCGUUGGGGUCCUUGAGACUUUAGUGGCGCAGUUAACGCGAUAAGUAGACCGCCUGGGGAGU